ensembl:lncRNA
CAGUGUAAUUGUUUUGAAUUAAAAUAUAUAAAUUUAGUCUACUGUGCAUUUUCUCUUUAAUGUUAUCUAUCAGUCAUGUAUGCAUUACGUGAAAUAUUUAGCUGCCUCUCCUUUUAAUCACCCAAGAAAGAAUCUGCAUUAUUGUAUUGAGACUUGUGCUUAGGUAGCUUUUUUCAAAUUGAUCAUAUGGAAUAUUAUGCUUUGACUUUUAGGAAUAUUUUUUUUUCUCAAAUGAUUUCAUUGUUCACAUGCUAUACAGGUAUUUUUGCAUGACUUACCUUGACAGUGCUGUGACUUCAGUGCCCUUCUUUGCUGCCCUAUUAAGGAAAGACUCCACAUUAACCUUUUUUUUUUGUUUUUUUGUUUUUGUUUUUGUUUUUGUUUUUUCCCCAUAGCUAUUUGGAAUCAGAAAGGAUAAGAAAGAAAAUGUCGUGCCUUCUUUCUUUAAAUUUGCAGAUAAAGAAACGUAGCUGAUAUAUUUUGCUUUUGUUUUUGUUUAAGCCAAAUUGAAAGAUAUGCCUAUUCCUAUAUGCUAUCGUUUAGGCUUUUUAAGUUGAUAAAAUCAUGUUGUUUUCACAAAAAAAGUGAUCUAACUAGUUCUGAGGACUAUAUUCUCUAGCUGUCAACAGUAAUUAAAAGGUGGUUUUAUUCCCUAACCACACAUUACAUUUCACACUUUCCUGAUUGGAUUUUAGUCCCAAGAUACUCAUUGAAUGGGAAUUUAAAGUUUAUUUUUAGGUAGCUCCUUUGGAUUUAUACUGUUUACUUUCAAAUUCUUGGCCACAGCUAUAGCUAAAUGCCAAUGUAGAGAAUUUUCAACAUUCUAAAUAAAGUUGUUACGUGUUUUGAAGUAUAGCUAAGACAGGCAUUAUCCCCUUUCUCUCCUCACUCCUCAAAAAUGUUAACACAGAAUCUCUCUAUUGUUUCUUGUAUUCUGAUCAUAUUUCCUUUAACUCAUAAUGUGGUUAUGAUGCUGGGCAUUAGAAUUACUGGAGCAGUUAAAAGGAUAAGGAAGGAAUUCUCUUAAAAGGGAAAUUUUGUAAUGGAGAAAGAAGUGAGACACAAGAAGUGAGAAGGGGAAAGAAUAACAGUUUGAGAUUUUAUGGCAGCACAAGGAGAAUAAUUAAAUAUUUGUGAAUAUGUGUUGGUGGAGGAAAGAGAAUGUUAAGUAUAAUACAUCUACAUCAAAAGGAGAAGUGGCCUAAGUGGUUAAUAAUCAAAAGCUCCUGUAGAUUCACCACACUCAGAAUACCUUAGGGCAGUUUAUGAAAUUUAUUUCUGGAUUUUCUUCUAUUGUCUAACUAGAAAGAAUGAUCGGAUAUAGCCGUAUCUUCAUUUGUAUGUUUCCAUUUAUAAUAUGCUAAUAUUCAUUCCCUAGAGUUUCUGGCCAUUACACUUAGGUAUUCCACUUUUCAAAUAGUAACUCUCCCAUAACUUUCCAAUAUUUUUCCUUUAAGAUUUUUUUCAGGAAAGCGUAUAUUCAUUAUCUUAAUCAAUUAGAAGUUAUAGAAUGAUUAAUAAUAACUACCAUUUUUGUUUACCUACUACAUGCAAGGCCUAGGGCUUUUCCUAAUAUGUAGUAUCUAUUAUAUUAACUUUAGGGGUCAGAUAUGACAAUUCCUGGUUUAUAAAUUCUGUAAAAAGAUAAAUAUAGUUCAAAAAAUAACUAUUUUAGAAUGCUAAGGAUGUUUGAAAAUGAAUAAAAACAUAAAUUUUAAAUAAAUAUAAACAUUUACUUCAGGGGUAAGGGUAAAAAAUAUAACUAAGGAAACUGGACUAUUAUCAAGUAUAAUUGUUAUAAUUAGCUUGUCUAUUCAAUUGGGAGAUAAAAAUAAGUAUUAAAAGCCCAUUAGCUUUUCCCAUCUAGUUAUAGUGUCUCUCAUAACAAUAUUUGAAAAAAAUUCUUUCAACAUAGGGGCAAAUAAGGUGAGAAAAACUCCCAAACUCCAUGUACAUGGUAGAAUUUCUUAUUAUGAUGUUUCUGAUAAACCCACAGAAUAAGCACAGGAUUCCACCCUACUAUCAUUGUAGGAGUGGCUGUAGUCAAGAUUAGUUAGGGUGAUAAGUGUGAAUGGUUUCUGUUAAGUAUAUUGUAUUUCCCUGCUGCUGUUCUCUGACCCACAUUUUCCAUUUUGCACAGUGGACAUGCAGAUUCACCAGAUGAAUGUCAAUAUGUUAAAUCUGCAAGGACACUUAACUGUUGCUAUGUGGAGUUGCCCUAAGUUCAUUCUUGAAAGUACAAACUCUAGGCCUUGAUUAGAGAUCACCAACAGUACUUCGCUCUUAUCUUUUUUAUUUCUGUUCAUAGUUUCUUUGUACAGAAAACUUUUUUUUUAUUCCUAUUCAGGUACUGCAGGAGGUGUACCAAUCUUUUGUCACCCCUUUCCAAUGGUCUCUGCACAUGCCUUCUACCUCUAUAGUGGCCUGGAGGGUGGGAGUCUCCACCUCUGUAUUCUUUAAAAGAAUAUCAUCCAGCCUGACUGCCUGGUAGACCAUUCUUCCUUACUAAGAAGACCUUUUCUUCAUGUUUGUUUCCUUAUCUCAUUACUUUUUAUAUGCCUUGGAACAGAGCCUUGCCUAGAAAUGUGGCUAUUUAAUUUAAAACACAAGUCAUUUCGCAGUCUCUGCUUAUGAGAAAGUUUCUCUUCCUCCCAUCUUGAAGUGCCUCUUGUUUACAACGUUCUUUUUUCCUUUCUAUUCCUUCCUUUAGUCUUUUUCUACAACCUCUCUUUCCUGCUUUAAGUUAUUUCUUCCAUUUUAUCCAAUUUUUUAAUAACAGAGAUAAUUACUGGGAUUGAUGUUAGCCUCUCUGGUGGUUUGAAAACUCAAACAUAAAAAAAUGAAAAAAGUUGUUGAGUUCUUAGAGGUCAAAGUAAGGACAGAAGUUCUUAAAACAGGCAAAGUGAAAAUAUGAAAGUCUGAUAUAAUUUAUAGUCUUUUCUUAGUACUUAGUCCUUAAAGGAUGAUUCCAUAACUUACUUAACUUCCCCUGAAAUUUUGAAAAUUCAUCUCAGUUUCAGUUUCACAUAUAUUUAAGCCCAAGUACAGAAGAGCAAAAAGGGCAGAGUCUGAUUGCCACUUUUAAUCUGUGAGACUUUAGGCACAUGGCUUCCCAGUAGUGUCUUCCCAUGUAAAGUGAAGGGCAGUUGUGCACACCACAGAGCAUUAUGUGAAAAUUAAAUAAGGAAAUAUAUGAUGUGUAUGUAGAUCAGUUCCUGUCCUAGAACAUAAUAAGUACUUCAAUAAAAAGGCAGUUUGGCUAAAUUUAUUGUCUUCUUCUUCAUAUAUGUUAUGUGCCUCAGAUGAGAUCUCAAUAAUACCAUAUUUAAGAAUUAUCAAACAUGUUUGUUACAAAGUACGCACUCCCUAGGUCUUAUAUGGGAAUUCACAUCCAAGAAUACACAUUUUUAAAUGUCUCAACAGGUGAUUCUGACACAGCUGAAAGACAGACCUCAGUGAGUAGUUGCUGAGACAUGGGGUUUUUACAUUUUUGAGCCCAACCCAAUCUCUGAUGCUUACUAACAAGUAAAUUUGAUCUAGUUAUUGAAACACUUUAAGCUUGUUUUAAUGGGGAUAAAUAAGAUAUCUACUUAGCAUAUAGCAAAUACUAAGAAAAUCACAUGAUUUAAUGCAGUGGGAACAUUUCCACAUAAAGAAAUAAUUUGGCGAUCUCCCCAUAGUUGGCUCUAACAUCAAGAUUAAAUAGGAAGUACUGUUAUGACCUGGAAUUUUCUAUAUUACCAAUGCUAAUGGAACAAUUUUUUCCACUCCUUUAGCAUUAUAAAUCCACAUUUGAAUUGAAGAAUUUGUGUCAAAUUCUAAAGGCAUUUUCAAAUAUACUUCAUCAUUUUAUAUACCUUAUGUUUUCUCUAUUUUUUCUUCUAUUUUCCACACAUAGACACACACACAGAAAUAAUUUUAAAAUAAAAAGGUAAUGCUUUGGGUAAAUUUAUAACAAGAUUACUGACAUCAAGAGAAUACUAGAAAAAUACUUGGCAAAUCGUGGAAUUUUUUUCUGUGAUUUCUAAAACAGUGAGAUUAUUUUGAUUUAAUUUUGUUUACCAAUUUUGUCAAUUUUAAAUUGAUUAUCAGUGAGAGGGAAGUCUAAAUACCUUAGUUAUAUUUUACAAUUUAUCCCUCUGCCUUUGUAGUUCUAGUAAUUAAAUUUCUGCCUUUGUAAUUCUAGUAAUUAAAUUUCAGCUUGUCACAAAUAACUCAUGAUUAUAUAUGUUUUUUCAAGGCUAUAGUAUACUCUAAAAUGACAAAUAACAGUAAGUUAAAAUAUUUAAAUGACCUACAGCUACACAAACUUUAAUUUCUGUUUUUACCUGUCUUCCUCUUUAUCUGUACUUUCCUCCCUGAGUCCCAUCAGUAUUGUCUCUCUUGAAAGAAAAGUACAAAGGCAAAUAGAUAGUGAAGAAACCAGUAGGAGAGUUUGUUCCAUCUUUAAUGUUGCCACUAUCUAGUUAAGUUAAAUAUCGAAGGAGAAAUCACAUUUUCCUCCACUUUCAACAUCAAGAAUCUCACUUUCUGUUCCCUGUCUUAGUUGAGUGGUAAUAACAAUGAGGG